AAGGAAUUUUCGGCAAUGGGCGCAAGCCUGACCGAGCAACGCCGCGUGGGUGAAGAAGGCCUGCGGGUUGUAAAGCCCUUUCGGUAGGGACGAAAGCCUCCGACCUAACACGUCGGGGGGUUGACUUAACCUACAGAAGAAGCACCGGCUAACUCUGUGCCUGCAGCCGCGGUAAUACAGAGGGUGCGAGCGUUAAUCGGAAUUACGGGGCGUAAAGCGGACGUAGGCGGCUUGGUAUGUCGGGUGUGAAAUCCCCGGGCUCAACCUGGGAACUGCAUCCGAAACUGCCUUGCUCGAGUAUGGGAGAGGGAAGUGGAAUUUCCGGUGUAGCGGUGAAAUGCGUAGAUAUCGGAAGGAACAUCAGUGGCGAAGGCGACUUCCUGGACCAAUACUGACGCUCAGGUGCGAAAGCGUGGGGAGCAAA
rnacentral:rRNA from 1 species